UACGAAGGGGGCUAGCGUUGCUCGGAAUUACUGGGCGUAAAGGGUGCGCAGGCGGUUCUGUAAGUCAGAUGUGAAAUCCCCCGGGCUUAACCUGGGAACUGCGUUUGAAACUACAGGACUAGAGUGUGGCAGAGGGAGGUGGAAUUCCAUGUGUAGCAGUGAAAUGCGUAGAGAUAUGGAAGAACAUCGAUGGCGAAGGCAACCUCCUGGGUUAACACUGACGCUCAUGCA
rnacentral:rRNA from 1 species